GGCGGACGGGUGAGUAACGCGUGGGUAACCUGCCUCACACUGGGGGAGUAACAGUUAGAAAUAGCUGCUAAUACCGCAUAAGCGCACAGUUCCGCAUGGAACAGUGUGAAAAACUACCGGUGGUGUGAGAUGGACCCGCGUCUGAUUAGCCAGUUGGCGGGGUAACGGCCCACCAAAGCGACGAUCAGUAGCCGGCCUGAGAGGGUGAACGGCCACAUUGGGACUGAGACACGGCCCAAACUCCUACGGGAGGCAGCAUG
rnacentral:rRNA from 1 species